rnacentral:lncRNA from 1 species
UCAUUAAGGCUAAAUAUAACCUAUUCCUGCAAAUUUCAAAAUCAUUUAACCCAAACACAUUAGGCCUUUCCCAUCACAGUUCAUGCAUAACAAAUACCAAGACCAAACUCUAUGUAUACCAAAUGGCUAACACACAAUUUACUUUAUAUUACAAGCCAAGCUUACAACCAAUCAACGAAUAAAUUAAAAUGUAACAUAUUAACUACAUGAAUAGGUGAUUGGAAAGAGACAAUAUUCAUUAAAUAAUAUAUUCUUUAUUUCAACCUCAAUCAAUCAUAUUGUAUUCCUCAACUUCACAUGUCAAAGAUGUGAGAAAUACCUGGAAAUAAGAAAAAAAAACAGAGCAAGGAAGAAUCAGUGGAUAGCAGCAGCAAAAGAAGAUGAAAUUCAAUAGCUUAACAACAAUAGUCCUAGUUUUCUCAAAUCAUUUCAAACCCAGAAAGAAUCAGAAUUACUUCAAGCUUUUAAGAAAUCAAAAGAAAACACACAAAACUUAAAUGAAACGGUGCAUUUUGACUAUAAAGGAAUCAGGUCAGUGUAGUUUAGAAAGUUUUAAUAGAUGGAACUACCAUGAAGCUGUGAUUUCACUGUGAUGUUGCUGCUGCUACUGCUCACUGAACUCCUCAAUACAUCAUGACAAAAUAAAAGAAGCUAGACUAAAUUAUGAUAUAUGAAUUACAAGAGUCAUAUCCAUAUCUUCAAACUUUAUCCUGCAUUUAUUGUUGCCUUGUUGACUUAUAUUUUAUAGGUGAUGGUAAGCAACCUCCACUUCCAACCGAGAGGUUGUGAGUUCGAGUCUCCCCAAGAGCAANNNNNNNNNNNNNNNNNNNNNNNNNNNNNNNNNNNNNNNNNNNNNNNNNNNNNNNNNNNNNNNNNNNNNNNNAGUUCGAGUCUCCCCAAGAGCAAGGUGGGAAGUUCUUGGAGGGAAGGAUGCCGGGGGUCUAUUUGAAAACAGCCUCUCUACCACAGGGUAGAGGUAAGGUCUGCGUACAUACUACCCUCCCCAUACCCCACUAUGUGGGAUUAUACUGGGUUGUUGUUGUUGUUGUUGAAGUUCCUUUGAGAUGCUUUCCCUUUUCUUCAGGUGGGCGCCUAAUUACCAAAACUUGAACUAUAUUCCCUUGUUCUCCAGGUUGACGCCUGAUUGCCAAAACUUGAACCGUAUUCCCUUGUUUUCCAAGUGGGAGCUGAUUGCUAAAAUGUUGAAUUCUAUUUCCUUGUUCUCUAGGUGGACACCUAAUUACCAAGAACUUGAACUGUAUUCCCUUGUUCUUCAGGUAAGCGCCUGAUCACUAAAAACUUUAAUUAUAUUCCUUUGUUCUCCAGGUGGGCGCCUGAUUGCCAUAAACAUGAACUAUAUUCUCUUGUUCUCCAGGUGGGCGCCUGAUUGGCGAAAACUUCAACUAUAUUCCCUUGUUCUCCAGGUAGGCGCCUGAUUGCCAAAACUUGAAUCGUAUUCCCUUAUUCUCGCGGGCGCCUGAUUGCCCAAAACUUGAAUUGUAUUUCCUCAUUCUCUAGAUAGACGCCUGAUUACCAAAAACUUGAACUCUAUUGCCUUAUUCUCCAGGUGAGCAUCUGAUUGUCAAAAAUAUAAACUAUAUUCACUUGUUCUCCAGGUGGGUGCCUAAUUGCCAAAAACUCAAACUGUAUUCCCUUGUUUUCCAAGUGAGCGCAUGAUUGCCAAAUACUUUAACUAUAUUACCUGAAACUACUUCCGUUGAACGUCAUUACAACAAAGCAAAUAAAACAAAAGAAAUUUUCCAAGCCUAGUUUGGUGCUGGGCGCAUCUGUGAGUGUAUAUCACACCUCCUAUUUUCCUACAACCUAGAAAGGAGUAUAUAAGGGAAUGUUUUCCAACUUAAAGUGACAAUUGAAACGGGAUCAUUUUUAUUAAAAUUCAUACUAGCCACUUAGGAUAAUUGUAUGAAGACCCAUGUCACCGGUUUAGAUCCCGAAUUGAGGAAAAGAUUUAUUGUGUUUUACAGUCUGCGAAUACGAAAAUCCGUGUAAGAAAUUCUGUUAACCCGGGAGAAGGUGUUAGGCUAGCAUGGUCGCGCAACUAUUAUUGUUGGCCUAAUUAUCUGAUUUUAAAAUACUUUUAAACCUAUGUGCAUUUUAACUUUAAACUGGUAUUAAUUAUUUUCAGCAGAAUAUCAACGUCAUCUAAAAUACGUCUUUAGACCACGUCACAUUAAAUGCACCCGCAGUCCGAGACACAUUUUAUUUAAUGUUGUUAAGAUUUGGAUUUGGGCCACAUGAAAUGCAUACCCGAGUUUAGGAAAGUAAUUUUUAAUAGCACCUAAAGCAACUAUGCGCUUUCAACUUUGCGAGAGCCAUGAAAAUUUAACUAAAUGGCAUGCCUCGAUUUCUAAAGAUUCAAGAUUAAUUAAAUGAGGGCCAUGCAUUUUGAGAUUUCAUUUAGUUUGACACACCUCGAACUAUUUAACUAAUUUUAAUAGCUAUGGAUAAUCACUUUUAAAGCUAAUUCAAAAUUAAUUACCGUGACUACACCAUGAGAACCAUACUCAUUGUCAUGAUGUUCAAUUACAUGCUUAAGGGUUUGCCUACCCGGGAUCCAGCUAGGCAAUUCAUCUAUCAAUUUAUUCCUUAACAACAUCUUAGGAUUUAUUAAACAGAAUCAAUUUAUUAGCACAAAGGAUCACCUAAAUUUCAUUUCAAAUCACAGAGUUGAAGUAAAAAUUAAAUUGAAACCACUUCAAAUAUCUAGAGGCUCCAGUUAAUAUAAUUAGUUACUUCAAAAUACAAAAACACUUAUUAAAAUACGUGGAUCAUUAUUCCGAAGGUAUUCGUGCCAAUAUCAAGAUUUGAUUUUUAGAAAAAUGAAAAAUAGUUGAAAGGUUGUUUCCUAAAGCAAAUUUUCCAGUCUAUAAGCAACUGGUUUUUUCAAAGCCAUACUCAAGCAGACAUUAUUUUCCAAAAAACCAAAUAACACUAAAAACAAACCAACAAUAAAACUGUUUUGCAAUUCGAACUCCAUUUCACCGACGCAGAAGACAAACCUAAGGUACAGUAUCAAGUUCUUACCAUUGGACGAAUAUCGACUAAUCAUCUAAACAAUAAGAUUACAAGUCGACUGGCCGGAGAGUCGACCUCGACAAACCGAAAAAGAGAAUGUCACUGCGCCUUUCAACCUCAAACGGCAACAGGGCUCGAAUCAGAACCAACAUCGAGCAACAACUCAUAUCACAUCCAUCUCAGAUUCAUGCUCAAAGUUUCUGCUGGAUUUCCAGCGAGUUAUGGUAGUUGUUGCUGCUGGUUUCCAGCGAAUUCUGGUGUGAGGUGAUGGAGUAAGAUCGUCGGCUGAUAGAGGACUAUUUUGGUUUUCAAAGGUCGCGCUGGUGUUUAUGGUGUUCGACAGUAGACGGCGUUGGCUGGAAAUGGAGGAACUCAUCACCGACAAGUUGCAGAAGAAGAAGGUGGCGAUGGGGAGGAAGGUCGUUUUUGGAUUAAUUUCUGGCAGUUGCUCCUUCAUUUUCGCCAGUUCGAUUUGUGGUUGGAGAUGCUCUGCUAGCUUCAAUAGAGUCUAGGGUUUUUCCUUUGGCUCUUUCAUGAAGAAGACGUUGAAGCUCCGNNN